rnacentral:tRNA from 1 species
AAAUAUGAAGUAAACAAUUACAUUCAGUUUCGACCUGAACCCAAGUUUAAAUAACUCUUAUUUA